GAUCCUGGCUCAGGAUGAACGCUAGCGGCAGGCCUAACACAUGCAAGUCGAGGGAGGAGCUUUCGGGCUUCGACCGGCGUACGGGUGCGUAACGCGUAUACAAUCUGCCUUUCACAUAGGGAUAGCCCGAAGAAAUUUGGAUUAAUACCUAAUGGCAUAUAGGGGUGGCAUCACCUUUAUAUUAAAGCUGAGGCGGUGAAAGAUGAGUAUGCGUUCUAUUAGCUAGUUGGAGAGGUAACGG
rnacentral:rRNA from 1 species